rnacentral:tRNA from 1 species
CAAAGAGGCCGAGAAGCAAUAAGAACUGCUAAUUCUUACCCCCGUGGUUAAACUCCACGGCUCUAUC